CCGAGUUUACAACUCCCAAACCCCUGUUGAACAUACCACUUGUUGCCUCGGCGGAUCAGCCCGCUCCCGGUAAAACGGGACGGCCCGCCAGAGGACCCCUAAACUCUGUUUCUAUAUGUAACUUCUGAGUAAAACCAUAAAUAAAUCA
rnacentral:misc_RNA from 1 species